rnacentral:rRNA from 1 species
CCUACGGGGGGCAGCAGUGGGGAAUAUUGCACAAUGGGGGAAACCCUGAUGCAGCGACGCCGCGUGAGUGAAGAAGGAUUUCGGGAUGUAAAGCUCGAUCAGCAGGGAAGAAAAUGACGGUACCUGAGUAAGAAGCCACGGCUAACGACGUGCCAGCAGCCGCGGUAAUACGUAGGGGGCAAGCGUUAGCCGGAUUUACUGGGUGUAAAGGGAGCGUAGACGGCAGCACAAGUCUGGAGGGAAAUGCCGGGGCUGAACCCCGGAACUGCUUUGGAAACUGUGCAGCUAGCUUGCAGGCGCGGUCAGUGGCCUUCCUUGUGUAGCGGUGAAAUGCGUAGCUAUUAGGCGGAACACCAGUGGCGACGGCGGCUUACUGGACUGUACCUGCCGUUGCGGCUCGACAGCGUGGGUAGCAACCAGGAUUAGCUACCCUUGUAGUC